GACAAAUUCUUCAAAUUGUUUAUAUUUUUAGGUGGGGGUGGCAAAAUGUGUGGAAAUUUAGGGAGUGAAAUUUUUUCGCACCAAAUUUUUGAAUUAUAAAAUAUACCGCUGUGUGGCAAAGGAGUAGAUUUAUCGUCCGGAGUAGAAGGGGCAGUGGUUUUGUCAUCGUUCAAGACACACUUAUUUUUUGCGUAAGAUUGAUCAAAAUUCUCCGAGAACUUAUUUACACCAUCAUUGUCUUCGCAAUCAUAAUUUUUUCCUCCGUGUUUUGCGGAGGAAUGACAAGACUCAAAAAAAAUUGGCAAUGAAAGUGACUUAGACGAUGAAUCUGUAAUAUUUAAAAGUGAAGAUGAAGCGCACUCCAGCUCAUAUUUAGCAAAGCCUUCAGUCCCGUUAAUUGAGGAGAAAAACGGAUGUAACAACAACUCUUGACAAUCUGGCCGCAUCUUCGGAUCGAUUGUUAGAGAUUUUUGUAAAAAGUCAAGCGCUAUAAGAUCAACUUUUUUUUCGUACCUCUCUUUGAUUGAAAUUAUUUGGUAUGGAGGAAUUACUGCGCUUGAUUGGCUUAACUCAGUGUUGUAUCUUGAAUUUGACCCCGAUAUAAAUCCAUUAUAAAAAUGUUUUUUGUACGCGUCGUAGAGCCUUUUGUCUGAUUCGAGAAUGCC
rnacentral:antisense_RNA from 1 species